rnacentral:rRNA from 1 species
AUGAACGCUGGCGGCGUGCCUAAUACAUGCAAGUCGCGCGAACGGACGAGAAGCUUGCUUCUCUGAUGUUAGCGGCGGACGGGUGAGUAACACGUGGAUAACCUACCUAUAAGACUGGGAUAACUUCGGGAAACCGUAGCUAAUACCGGAUAAUAUUUUGAACCGCAUGGUUCAAAAGUGAAAGACGGUCUUGCUGUCACUUAUAGAUGGAUCCGCGCUGCAUUAGCUAGUUGGUAAGGUAACGGCUUACCAAGGCAACGAUGCAUAGCCGACCUGAGAGGGUGAUCGGCCACACUGGAACUGAGACACGGUCCAGACUCCUACGGGAGGCAGCAGUAGGGAAUCUUCCGCAAUGGGCGAAAGCCUGACGGAGCAACGCCGCGUGAGUGAUAAAGGUCUUCGGAUCGUAAAACUCUGUUAUUAGGGAAGAACAUAUGUGUAAGUAACUGUGCACAUCUUGACGGUACCUAAUCAGAAAGCCACGGCUAACUACGUG